rnacentral:rRNA from 1 species
UCGAGAAUUUUUCACAAUGGGGGAAACCCUGAUGGAGCGACGCCGCGUGGAGGAUUAAGGUUUUCGGAUCGUAAACUCCUGUCAUUAGAGAACAAGGCACAUGAACUAACUACUCGUGUGUUGAUAGUACCUGAAGAGGAAGGGACGGCUAACUCUGUGCCAGCAGCCGCGGUAAUACAGAGGUCCCAAGCGUUGUUCGGAUUCAUUGGGCGUAAAGGGUGCGUAGGUGGCGAUGCAAGUCGGAUGUGAAAUCUCCGGGCUCAACCCGGAAACUGCACUCGAUACUGCAUUGCUCGAGGACUGUAGAGGGCAUUGGAAUUCACGGUGUAGCAGUGAAAUGCGUAGAUAUCGUGAGGAAGACCAGUGGCGAAGGCGAAUGCCUGGGCAGUUCCUGACACUGAG